CUUUUUUGAACCGCGGCACACUUUUUACAUUUACAAAAUCCUGGGGCACACCACCAACCAAAAUGACUCAAAAUUACACUCUAACACAGUACAUAUAAUACAUAUUGUAGUGGCGAUUUGUCCUCAAUAAAACAAUAACUUGAAAAUUAAGAAAUCAAACAAAGCAACGUAAUCAAAAUAGCCACUGAGGCACCAGGGGGGACGAAUCUUACGCAGUGCAGGGGAAAGAGUCAACUGUCCAGUCGUGAAUUUAGAUUUCUGCAGGUUUAUUUUCCGAUCUUCCAAGCAAACAAAUCAAAUGUGCAACAGUGUGAACCAGCAGCCUCACUCCUUUGUCUCUCUCGUACAGCUGGUAAAAAAACAUGACCCUUCCAAGUGCCUGUCUUACCUAUGCCCGCCACCUAUGCCCGCCACCACCAUAUAUAGGCUAGUAAUAACUUCAAAACAAAAGCAUAAACAAACUCAAAUUAACUAAUUUAUAAUACAAACGAGAAAAUAAACAUAAAAGUCAUGUUAUUUUAUGUUAAGCAAACAAACUAAAUAAAUGUUUUGCAAUUAAAUCUAAGAACUGCAUAGCUCCAACACAUAUAGUUAAUAAUAUAGUUUCUAAAUGUAUUUAUACUCACUAAGUGUGAAACCUGGGCCUGUUUAGAUUAACACAAAAUGGAUAUCCUGGCAGGAAUGGUAGAAGGACACACACAAAGCUCUUCCUCAACAGCUCUCAGUCUCUCUCUUUUAAUUAAUUACCAUUAGGGCUGGCCCGAAUGCCAUUUUUCAGGCUUCGAAUACUCGUUGGUUUUUCCGAGCGAAUAUUCGAAUG